rnacentral:misc_RNA from 1 species
UACGUAGGUGGCAAGCGUUGUCCGGAAUUAUUGGGCGUAAAGCGCGCGCAGGCGGUCUUUUAAGUCUGAUGUGAAAGCCCACGGCUCAACCGUGGAGGGUCAUUGGAAACUGGAGGACUUGAGUGCAGAAGAGGAAAGUGGAAUUCCACGUGUAGCGGUGAAAUGCGUAGAGAUGUGGAGGAACACCAGUGGCGAAGGCGACUUUCUGGUCUAUAACUAACACUAAAACGCGAAAGCGUAAGGAGCAAACAGG